rnacentral:rRNA from 1 species
AAUGAACGUUGGCGGCAUGGAUUAGGCAUGCAAGUCGAGCGAGAAGUGUAGCAAUACACGGAAAGCGGCGGAAGGGAGAGUAAUACGUGGGAAUCUGCCCUUAGACCUGGGAUAGCAGCGGGAAACUGCUGGUAAUACCAGAUAAUGUCUAUGGACCAAAGGUGUGAUUCUGUCUAGGUAUGAGCCCACGUCCUAUUAGCUAGUUGGUAGGGUAAUGGCCUACCCAGGCGAUGAUGGGUGGCGGGUGUGAGAGCAUGACCCGCCUCACUGGGACUGAGACACUGCCCAGACACCUACGGGUGGCUGCAGUCGAGAAUCUUCGGCAAUGGGCGCAAGCCUGACCGAGCGAUGCCGCGUGCGGGAUGAAGGCCUUCGGGUUGUAAACCGCUGUCGAGGGGGAGCAACUUCCAUAGAGUUAUCUUUAUGGAUUGAGUGAUCCCUGGAGGAAGGACGGGCUAAGUUCGUGCCAGCCGCCGCCGUAAUAC